rnacentral:lncRNA from 1 species
UGCCAGGGGAGAGCGCUGGGCCGGGCAGGGCAGGGGGGCCGGGCGGUGACCCCAGCCUCUCUCCUCAGAUGAGCCUUCCCUGCAGUUCCGAAGGAACGUGUUUUUCCCCAAGCGGCGGGAGCUCCAGAUCCACGACGAGGAGGUCCUGCGGCUGCUCUAUGAGGAGGCCAAAGGCAACGUGCUGGCCGCACGGUACCCGUGCGACGUGGAGGACUGUGAGGCCCUGGGCGCCCUGGUGUGCCGUGUGCAGCUCGGGCCCUACCAGGCAGGCCAGCCCACUGCCUGCGCCCUGAGGGAGAAGCUGGACUCCUUCCUCCCCGCCCACCUCUGCAAGCGGG